GGCGCCUGGGUGGCACAGCGGUUGGGCGUCUGCCUUCAGCUCAGGGCGUGAUCCCGGCGUUCUGGGAUCGAGCCCCACAUCAGGCUCUUCUGCUAUGAGCCUGCUUCUCCCUCUCCCACUCCCCCUGCUUGUGUUCCCUCUCUAGCUGGCUGUCUCUAUCUCUGUCAAAUGAAAAAAAAAAAAAACUUAAAAAAAAAAAAAAAAAAGAUGUCAUGAGGCUCUCCAUCUCUCAGCACUGGCUUUCUGCUGAAGUCCAGAGAAGAUUGCAUUGAGAAACUCCAAGCUUCUAAUUUCCUAAGAGCUCAUAAAUCAGGAGAAUGUAGGAAAUCCUCUCUCUCAAUGUGUAUUUUUAAUUAUACAGAGCAAAUGCUGAAUGGUCCUGCUGGGGUCACAGGCUCACCCCUGAACCAACUGCUAUGAACCCCAGAAGAAGGGAGAUUGGAAUAAAUCUGUAAAAAUCAGUCACUGCUACAGUCCACUCGGGAAAUUAGCCAACAUCACCAGGAGCGAAGACAGUGCCGAUGAGGGGAAAGAGAAGUGUUUCCCUUUGAGCACCGAGUCCUUCCAGAGACUGACCAAAGUGGGGAAAGAGUCGGGGUCUUGGGACACCAAUCUCCAACAUGGGCACUCACACGUAAAGCAGGAAGAAACUUUUGCUUCUUCAUAACCUGAAGAAAGGUUGGUAAGUGUAACUGGCAGUUCCCUUAAUCACUCCAGAAAGGCUUGUUAU
rnacentral:lncRNA from 1 species